UUUUGAAAAAUUUGCUCUAGGGUGCAAAGAGUAAAAUCUGUCUCAACUCAGCAAGUGAUUGAAGUGACAGAUAAAAUAUGGUGGUGGUGGUGUAGGUGGUUUCAGUAGGGGCACCAUGAUUUUCAUUUUUUAUUUUUACCAUCCAUAGUUACUCCUAUACCACCUACUCUUUCCCAAUUUCCAAAUGUCACUCUUGCUCAAAUUCUUUCUGCCAGCUUAAGCUUUCUGAGUCUGCCCCUUUCAGCAUUGUUCCCACAUGAACCAGUACCUUCCCUUGGCACCCUGACAUGGUUGUUCUCUGUGGGCUUUGAUUGAAGUCAGCAGCAGUCACCUGUUGAGUUAUAUGAAAGAAAGAUAAGGUCUGAGGAUGAAUGUCUGUUGGCACAGGAGUUCCAGUUGCUAAUGGGGAUCUAUGAAAGUAAAACAUCAGAAACAGGAAAAAAAAUAAGUAAAAGGCUUUUAUUACCCCUUUCUUUCAGGCUCAGAACUUUAGAAGUGUGUUGUCACCCAGGAAAAGAGCACAACAUGGAAAUGUGUGGCACUUACACAGGUUGCAUUUGGACGGAGAGAGACGAGAGGCCGGCAGCUGCAAACAGCAGAGACAGUAAUGACAUGGUGGCUUCACAAAACUCAACUUUGAAGAAUUUGGUGAUGGCAUAGCGUUACUCAUCAGACAGAGCCUGGACCAGAGCCACAGUGGAAAUCGUGUGCUUGGCAAACAAGCCCCUUCAGCAUUGUUCCAUGUGAUCCCAAGUGAACCAAGCAAGAGCAUCCUCUCUUUGCAAAUGCAUCAGCCUGGGGGACCUCAGACAGCACAGGACUGGAUUAAGAAUCCUGCCUUCAGGAAGACAAGUGGUUAAAAUGAAUGGUUCAGUUCUGAUUGCCAUGGCCCUAACUUCUCCAGGCCUGAAACACAAAGCUCCCCUUCCUUGUACGGCAUUCAAUUGUACCUGCUUCUCACUCACCUGAUGUUCUCCUAGCAUUUUCUCAUGUCAUUACUGUGAUGCAGUUACUAUGAGAAAGCAGGUAUGUCUCAGGCACUGAAUCAAUCACUUACUCUGAACAAGAUUUAUGUGGCUCUAGACACGCCCGUGCACUCUGCACCCUGCUACUGUAUCAGCUCUGACUAUUGGAUGACAUUGUAUCAGACAUUGGGAAAGUGAGCAUUUAGCUUAGGAAGGGAAAGUGAAAUCUGCCUGACAUUACCAAAGAUAUCAGACUUUGUUUCUUGUCACAGUAACAGGUGACAGCUGCAAUCCAGGACUUCAGCAUAUCCAACGACAUAGUGUGGAAAUUGACUUCAGGACAUUCACUGAGGAGCUUCCCCUACUAGGUCAAAAAUGUGUUUUUCCAACACCCAGAUUCAUGUCAUCCAGCACAGAGAUGAUCUGCAUACCUUAAGGGACUGAUAAUUGUCUUCUGUAUUCUUUUCUAUGCUCAAUCUAUUGCAAGUUCAAAAAAUAAAACCAA